rnacentral:rRNA from 1 species
CACGUAGGGCGCAAGCGUUAAUCGGAAUUACUGGGCGUAAAGCGUGCGUAGUCGGUUAUCUAAGUCGGGUGUGAAAUCCCCGGGCUCAACCUGGGAAUUGCAUUCGAUACUGGAUAGCUAGAGUUCGGCAGAGGGAAGCGGAAUUUCGGGUGUAGCGGUGAAAUGCGUAGAUAUCCGAAGGAACAUCAGUGGCGAAAGCGGCUUCCUGGACCAGAACUGACGAUCAGGCACGAAAGCGUGGGGAGCAAACAGG